AAAGUUUAAACGGUUAAAUGCACUUCAACAAAGCACAAGAAGGUUAGAAACACGCCACGCGACUACAUAUAUCGGCAACAGGAUGUCAGGCACGUGCCGCUUUGCGUAAUGUGUCGUGUGACCAAAUCGACCAAUCGCCGCAAGUUCGCAACUAAUUGGACAAAGAAAUGCACUUAAUGACACUUAAUAUUGAUCUGAUUUUACUCAUUCAUUGCUCUAACAAACGGUAUGUGCAACGUUUUUUUCAACGUCUGUCGCUGGAAUAAUGCAUCAUUUGGUCGCUGUUCAUGAACACGAUGCCAGAUUGCUUAUUAUCUCCGAAGUGCCGGAAUGUAAUUCAAUCUUCGCUAAGAGUUGUUGUUUAGGUUAACUCUUACAAAAGUCAUCUUAGAAGAAAGCACGCCAAUGUUGACUUAAACUCACGUCAUCUAUGUUGCGUUGAAUCAGCGAGUAGCACUCACAACAAUUUUUGUCCUGAUGAGGAUGGCCUUGAACUCUUAAUUGAUGAAUUCAACAUGGAAAAUGAACUUGAUGACUCUGUUCAAGCAAUGGAACACAAAAAGGCUCAAUUUCUUCUAAAAACAAAAGAAAUCAAUCUGCUCACACAAAAAUGUGUGGAUAACAUUGUAGAAGAAUCCACUGAACUUGUCCAAGGAACAGUCAAAGCAUUUAAACACGGUUUACAAAAUUGCUUAGAGAAAGCUGGAUUAAAUUAUAAUGAUGUGCCAGGUCUUGAUGAAUUAUUUGAUGAAGAACAUGCUAUCUCAAGUCCAUUCAAACAUAUUUCCACAAAGUAUAAAUAGAAUGCUUAUUUUGAGGAGCAUUUUGGCUUAGUUCAACUCAGACGAAUUAAACUUGGACACAGAGUUGUGAAAAGACGUUCAAGGACUGUGUACAAAGAGGUUAUUAAAGAUAAUGAAAUCAUGUACAUACCACUGCUUAAAUCCUUGGAAAAAAUGCUCAAUGUAAAAGGAGUACUUGAACAGGUCAGAUUGUUAAUAGCAUGGUUGUGUUUUUUUAUGUUGGCAAGUUUAUCAAACUAUGACAACUACAUCUUUGCAAGUACCCAUAUCAAUAACAGGGUUGCAAAAUAUUAAUACAUGUUCUAUGUAUAACCAUAAAAGGAACUUUAUGUGUGUUUUACUGUGUUAGUUUCCAUGAA